CCUACGGGAGGCAGCAGUAGGGAAUCUUUCACAAUGGGCGAAAGCCUGAUGGAGCAACGCCGCGUGCAGGAUGACGGCCUUCGGGUUUUAAACUGCUUUUAUAAGCGAGAAAUAUGCUGGUAACUUAUGAAUAAGGAUCGGCUAACUACGUGCCAGCAGCCGCGGUCAUACGUAGGAGCCGAGCAUUAUCCGGAGUGACUGGGUGUAAAGAGUUGCGUAGGUGGCAUAGUAAGUAGCUAGUGAAAUCCGGUGGCUCAACCAUUCAGACUAUUAGCUAAACUGCUAAGCUCGAGACCGUUAGGGGUAACUGGAAUGUCUAGUGUAGGAGUGAAAUGCGUAGAGAUUAGAAGGAACACCGAUAGCGUAGGCAGGUUACUGGGACGGUUCUGACGCUAAGGCACGAAAGCGUAGGGAGCAAACGGGAUUAGAUACCCCGGUAGUC
rnacentral:rRNA from 1 species